UGAUCCCCUCCUUCCUCCCAGUCCCCACCGCCGCCACGAACUCUGCUCCGACACGAACUCUGCUCAAGCCCGCUCCCAUGGUUCCCGUCAUCGACAUGGCCUCUUUGCCCGUUCCGCAAGCCGAAGGCACCACCUACAGAAAGGACUCGAGUCCCACGAUCGAAAUCCCAGAUCAGACCGGAUCGCGGCGGCCGGCGGCGCCACGACAGUUCGCCGACCUGCAGUCCUCCUCACGGGACAAGCUGCGUUCGCGGUGCGCACUCGCUGCCCGCCGGCUUCGACGGUGUGGGCCGGGGCGCCGCCCUUCCGCAGAUCCGCAAUCGAGUCGUGCGUCCGGUCUGACGCCUCCCAUCGACGUCCACGGCUCUGUGCUCUUCCAUGUUCUCUCCUAGCGCAGGCUGUGGGGGCGCUACGCCGCUAUCUGCCGGCUCCUCAUACAAGAGCUGUGGACAAACUGAGCCCUGUGGGAAACAAUUGCAUCAGCUCAGCGACGUCCAGCGUUUCUCCUCUCUACGUUUCUUUGCACGCCUCAUCUCCAAGCACGAAUUCACGACGUGAUGGUCUGGUCUUGGUACUAUGUUGAUAGCGAGGGUGCAAGGCUCAAGGGAAGCAGCCGGUUCUGUAGUUCUUUGUAUGCUUAUAGUAUCUUGGAUGAGGGUUGAGGAAGCUGCUGAGUUAGCAUGGCGGGCUUUUAUCACGCAAUAUUCCGUGACAGAGCUAGUAGUGGCUGUGUUCCUGGUGGGCUUGACAGACCAGUUUUUAUCCGGAAGAAAGGCCUUUAGCGUGCGUUUGGAUCUGAAGAAACAAAGCAAGAUAUGGCUGUCAUUCCUCCUAACUUGGCUAGUUACUAGUGUCUCCUUGAUCCUUUGAUAAGAUGAGCUGAACAUAUUCAAGGUUUCUAGCGGGAAUCACUUCUUCGUGGCCAUUCUGGUGAUAAUGGUUGUACUCCAGGUAAAAAAACAAAUAGUAUAAUUCUUCUAUUCGACAUAUGUAGUAGUUUUGGUUAUUGUUAUAUGUUGUUUCCUUCGUAUGUAUAUGCAAGCUCUUAUCAUCGAGUUUCCUUGGCAAGUUAACUUCAACAAUCAUGUUAAGCUGGCAGCUAUAUGGUUGGUACUGAUGAGAGUUGCUCAUUUAGCUGCUGAUGAUCCAAGAAUUGUAAAGAUAAGGCGGGGGAACCUUAUUUGUGUGGUGGAUGCAAUUAUGUUAUGAGGUCAAUUUGUAACUUAUUAUACUACAGUUAUGGACCAAGCCAUGAAUCAGUACCAAAAUUCAGGAUUGGUGAGAAGAAACGUGAACUUAUAAUGUUUUUAGUACCCUAAUCUUGACUUGUCGCUGAUGGACCACAAUGUUCAAGCUCGGCACAUACUGUUGAACAGCUAAAAAUAUUGGAUCUCAAGGCACCUGCAAACUAAGCCGCUGGAAGAAAGUUCAGAGGUGUGUUGAGUCUUGGCAUUCCCAAGUAAUCAUUGGUGUUCAUUUUUGAAAUACUGCUUUGUACUCCCUCCGUAACAAGAUGUAAGACGUUUUUAUACCCUAUGCAAACCAAAAAAGUCUUUACAUUUUGGUACAAAGGUUGUAGUUUUAUUUCCCUGUAGCUGGUUACUGAGUGGCAUGCAGUAGAUUAGAUGAAGCAUGUGAGUGAGGAUUUGACAUGUAAGCGGCAAUCAACGAUGCAAGUCGUGACAGUAGUCGAUGUAAAGCGACAAUCAUCAUGUGCGGAGGUCAUGAGAGGAGUCGUUAAAGAGCGACCAUCACGGCCAGCAGAAGACGAGCACCAAGAACUGCAGAAAGGUGUAUGCGAGACGGGGCCUGUGUAAGGGAUACCGCCAAGAGUGGGCAGCAAGGGAGAUGUGUACCGGACGAACGCACUGUACUUAAUAUUUAUUUUUUUACUUGAAAAUCAGAAGCAGUCAGCGGAGCCAGCACCAAGGGGUCAAAGCAGGGAGCGAGGCAUAAUCGAGCGACCUUCACGGCAGGAUCCAGCAGGUAGCGCCGAGCUGCAGGUGGGGUGGAGAGAUGCACAACAGGGCAGGAGCGGACUCCUUGUGUUGCAACGACAUGAAUGUGGGCUGCCGUGUUAGGAUCAAACAGUGGAUGGACGAGA